GUAUUAACAGAAUGGUUACUGUAAUAUAGUACUUCUUAAGUUAAGCACUUAAAUGUAAUUAAAACGUCUUUUAUACGUUCUGGAAACACUUGGAAAUGAAAAAUAAACAGUAAAAGAGACAGACUGUGUGAGCGAGAGAGAAAUCCUGCGUGUGACUCUCCACGCACGACUCUGAUGAGAGACGGGGAGGCUGUUCCCGCACAAGAUGGCGUCGUGUACCGCGAACGUGCAGUGCUGCAGAAGAUGAAACAACACACACGACAGGUCAGUGAGUCAGUGUGCAUCCUGACCACUCAAGCAAUAAUGAAGCUGUUGAAAUCCUAAGAAGCAGCAGUGGAUGUGAAAACAUGACUAGGGUACAAGAUAGAGGAUUCUUCAGAAUUAAAGCCAACAGCCCCUUUUGCACCUGGACUUUAGCGUCUUGUCCACAGGGAGUGAAGGGGGCGCAAACUCUUCUGCUUUUCACCCAGCCCUAGAGCGUAAGUCUUCAGGCAGUUUGUUCUUGGACAGGGGGCGCAAACUCUUCUGCUUUUCACCCAGCCCGAGAGCGUCAGUCUUCAGGCAGUUUGUUCUUGGACGGGUAAGCCAGCGGCUUCAUCACGAUGUAUGAUGUCUGAGUCCAUUCAGAUUAUUAAAUUGAGUUGUUUUAGUUUGUUUGCAAGUUUGUUUCCUUUCAGACUCAACUGGUGUCAGCAUGUAGGAUCCAAGGGAUUGUAAAGGAUGAACUCCCUUUAUUAUCUAACCACUUCAUGAACAUUGAAUGAGGGAAAAUGCUGAGAGUUUUACACCUUGUGUGUUUUCUGUUUUAAAUUC